AUUGAACGCUGGCGGCAGGCCUAACACAUGCAAGUCGCACGAGUGGCGGCCGGGUGAGUAAUGUCUGGGAAACUGCCUGAUGGAGGGGGAUAACUACUGGAAACGGUAGCUAAUACCGCAUACCAUCAGAUGUGCCCAGAUGGGAUUAUCUAGUUGGUGGGGUAACGGAUCACCAAGGCGACGCUCCCUAGCUGGUCUAAGAGGAGGACCAGCCACACUGGAACUUAGACACGGUCCAGACUCCGAGGGGAGACAGCAUUAGGGAAUAUUGCACAAUGGGCUCAAGCCUUAUGCAGCCAUGGCGCAUGUAUGAAGAAGGCCUUCGGAUUGUAAAGUACUUUCAGCGGGGAGGCGUUACCCGCAGAAGAAGCACCGGCUAACUCCGUGCCAGCAGCCGCGGUAAUUC
rnacentral:rRNA from 1 species